rnacentral:rRNA from 1 species
ACGAACGCUGGCGGCGCGCCUAACACAUGCAAGUCGAACGAGCGAGAGAGAGCUUGCUUUCUCAAGCGAGUGGCGAACGGGUGAGUAGCGCGUGAGGAACCUGCCUCAAAGAGGGGGACAACAGUUGGAAACGACUGCUAAUACCGCAUAAGCCCACGACCCGGCAUCGGGUAGAGGGAAAAGGAGCAAUCCGCUUUGAGAUGGCCUCGCGUCCGAUUAGCUAGUUGGUGAGGUAACGGCCCACCAAGGCGACGAUCGGUAGCCGGACUGAGAGGUUGAACGGCCACAUUGGGACUGAGACACGGCCCAGACUCCUACGGGAGGCAGCAGUGGGGAAUAUUGCACAAUGGGGGAAACCCUGAUGCAGCGACGCCGCGUGGAGGAAGAAGGUCUUCGGAUUGUAAACUCCUGUUGUUGAGGAAGAUAAUGACGGUACUCAACAAGGAAGUGACGGCUAACUACGUGCCAGCAGCCGCGGUAAAACGUAGGUCACAAGCGUUGUCCGGAAUUACUGGGUGUAAAGGGAGCGCAGGCGGGAAGACAAGUUGGAAGUGAAAUCCAUGGGCUCAACCCAUGAACUGCUUUCAAAACUGUUUUUCUUGAGUAGUGCAGAGGUAGGCGGAAUUCCCGGUGUAGCGGUGGGAUGCGUAGAUAUCGGGAGGAACACCAGUGGCGAAGGCGGCCUACUGGGCACCAACUGACGCUGAGGCUCGAAAGUGUGGGUAGCAAA